GAUGAACGCUGGCGGCGUGCCUAAUACAUGCAAGUCGAGCGAACGGACGAGAAGCUUGCUCCUCUGAUGUUAGCGGCGGACGGGUGAGUAACACGUGGAUAACCUACCUAUAAGACUGGGAUAACUUCGGGAAACCGGAGCUAAUACCGGAUAAUAUUUUGAACCGCAUGGUUCAAAAGUGAAAGACGGUUUUGCUGUCACUUAUAGAUGGUUCCGCGCUGCAUUAGCUAGUUGGUAAGGUAACGGCUUACCAAGGCAACGAUGCAUAGCCGACCUGAGAGGGUGAUCGGCCACACUGGAACUGAGACACGGUCCAGACUCCUACGGGAGGCAGCAGUAGGGAAUAUUCCGCAAUGGGCGAAAGCCUGACGGAGCAACGCCGCGUGAGUGAUGAAGGUCUUCGGAUCGUAAAACUCUGUUAUUAGGGAAGAACAGAUGUGUAAGUAACUGUGCACAUCUUGACGGUACCUAAUCAGAAAGCCACGGCUAACUACGUG
rnacentral:rRNA from 1 species